rnacentral:snRNA from 1 species
AUACUUACCUGGCAGAGAAAAUACCGUGAUCACGAAGAUGGUUUUCCCAGGGUAAGGUUUAUUCAUUGCACUCUGGGUUUGCUGAUCUCUGCGAUUUCCCCAAGUGUGGGAAACUCGACUGCAAAAUUUGUGUUAGUGGGGGACUGCGUUCGCGCUUUCCCCUG